AUCACCCUAGGCUCUUGUCAUCAGUUGCCAAGGCUAUGGAAGCCCCCUGAGUUCACCGACUCUGAUCAUAUUUAGACAAGGCCAUGGUCAAAGUGGAAGCUCUCUCCUCCCUUCAGAGAAAGGUUGCCCGAGGUGGUACACUCGAUUCAGUUUCCCAACCAAUGGAAACUGCAGUUUGUGAAAUAUCACCCAUGGCUGUAUGUGAAGAAGGAAUGAGCUACAGUAAGGCUCAUGCUCACACCUAACUUCACAGUGCAGGUUUCGUGAUAUCUAAUGAUCUAUCCUCAAAGUUGCUAUUUCUUCCAUCAGCUCCAAUCCGCAGGAAUUUUAAUGAGGCUAAACAGAAAUGACGGACUGUCGUACCUGUGAUGGAUGGAGUCUCAUAUCUCAGGUCAGGUAUUCAAGCCUUUGUUGCAAGCUGCUUUCAAUUGCCCCACCAAUGCAUGGUUCAGGGGUCAUCCAGAAACUUGAGCUGGGCUUAACUGUUGAAUUAAGGGUUUCCUACUCUUUGACUUUCUAACCCUCUCCUGGCUCUGAUUGCCCUGGGACUCCUUUACCUGGUUCAAAUGACAGGGCUUUCUAUCACAAUUUUCGUCAUCCCCAUGCCACCUACAACACGACUGUGCUACCUUCAAAGUAAAGCCACAAAAUCCAGAGAACUCACUCUAUUUGGUUCCUUCAAGUUUCAGAGCUCCUCCCAAAUGCACUGUCUUAGCUCAGUCUCUAGAUAAAAUAAAAAUAGUUGUGUACUAGUUUCAUAUUUUUUUUAUUCUCAGGAGUAGCUCACUACUCCAUACUAGAGGUAAAUUUUUAAUUCUAUUUUUUAAAUUUAAGAAUGUUUAAGUAUUUUGUUUUCAAGUUUAAAACUUGGAUUAUAUAAAGUUAUUAACUGAGACAAAUAAAGAUGUUCCACUAACUACAUGAAAUCUGAAAUUAAAGUUUAUGAUUCCCAAGUUGCCAUCUUAUUUCAUUGUCAACAUCUAAUUUAAUCUCCCUUGCACAAUAUUGAGAAAUUUUGAUUUAUAUGAGCAUAUAGUUGCAAAAGAGAACUUUUUAAAAACAAUUUAUCUUAGGAGAACUGUCAAUAAAACAGAAAGAGGUUCGUAUAAAGAAGAGUCAAAUUGGCAACAUGAUCCUCGUAUCCAAGUUUCUAUAAACAUUCCAUGAAAAGCAGACAUCUGUUGUCAGAUGUACUGGGGAGAACUGCCUGGUGUAUUCCACCAGAAAAUCAUAAAUAUCUGAGAUUCUGAGGAGAAGUGUUUUAAGUGUAAUUUAACCCAA